UGGCAGAAGUUCUGUUGGCAGAAGAGAGCAUCAGAAAUGAGUCUCUAGCAUCGUAUCUGUAUUACAGCCCAGCGCUGAAUUAAGGCAGGAACAAAGCUCGCUCGGACGGCCAAAUGUGCUGCAGAAUAAUUUAUGCCUCUACUCAAUCUCUAAGGUGCCACAAGGACUCCUCGUUGUGUCUACAUUUGAAUGGCCGAGCAGCGUACACUUGCUUCCCGAGGAAGAAGCAGGACACUAGCUUCUGCUCUCCUGGUUGACACUGUUGUGUCAAAUACGGUGCCAACCCUGGUUUCCGUUCCUUUCGACGUCCUCAAGGACCUGAUUGAAGGGGUACAGGGCUGUGUGAAUGAGCUGACCCCCAAAGCGCUAUCUGCCCUUACUAGGCUGCUGGGUAUUCUGGGUUCGGUACCCAUCCUGGGGUAAGGAUUCCUGCAGAGCCAGGCGAGGAUCUCGGAUGGAUGAAUACCGGACGCUCCCCUCUUCUUCCUCUCUGAUUUCAGCUUUUCUCCUAUCGCUGCAUGCAGCCCAAGCUCCUGGUGCUCUCACCUCCUCCAGUGAAGGCUCAGAAUUGCUCCAAUCAUUUGUUUCAAUAAACUAACUGCAAU